rnacentral:rRNA from 1 species
AACCAGCACCUCAAGUGGUCAGGAUGAUUAUUGGGCCUAAAGCAUCCGUAGCCGGCUCUGUAAGUUUUCGGUUAAAUCUGUACGCUCAACGUACAGGCUGCCGGGAAUACUGCAGAGCUAGGGAGUGGGAGAGGUAGACGGUACUCGGUAGGAAGGGGUAAAAUCCUGUCAUCCCAGGGGGACCACUUGUUGCGAAGGCGUCGUACUAGAACGGAUCCGACGGUCAGGGACGAAGCCUAGGGGCACGAACCGG